rnacentral:rRNA from 1 species
UACAGAGACUGCAAGCGUUAUUCGGAUUCACUGGGCGUAAAGGGUGCGCAGGCGGUCGUGUGUGUCAGGUGUGAAAUCCCGGAGCUUAACUCCGGAACUGCGCCUGAAACUACAUGACUAGAGCAUUGGAGAGGGAAGUGGAAUUCAUGGUGUAGCAGUGAAAUGCGUAGAUAUCAUGAGGAACACCAGUGGCGAAGGCGACUACCUGGCCUGUUCUUGACGCUGAGGCGCGAAAGCUAGGGGAGCAAACGGG